AUUGAACGCUGGCGGCACGCCUAACACAUGCAAGUCGAGCGGCAGCGCGAUAUGUAGCAAUACAUAUUGGCGGCGAGCGGCGGACGGGUGAGGAACACGUAGGAACCUACCCUCGAGUGGGGGAUAACCAAGGGAAACUUUGGCUAAUACCGCAUGAUUUCGAGAGAGCAAAGCUGCCGCAAGGUGGCGCUCGAGGAGGGGCCUGCGUCCGAUUAGCUAGUUGGUGAGGUAAGAGCUCACCAAGGCGAUGAUCGGUAACUGGUCUGAGAGGACGAACAGUCACACUGGGACUGAGACACGGGCCAGACUCCUACGGGAGGCAGGAGUGGGGAAUAUUGGACAAUGGGGGCAACCCUGAUCCAGCGAUGCCGCGUGAGUGAAGAAGGCCUUCGGGUCGUAAAGCUCUUUAGGUUGGGAAGAAGAGUGAUGGAGGAAAUGCUAUCACUUUGACGGUACCGACAGAAUAAGCACCGGCAAACUCUGUGCCAGCCGCCGCGGUAAUAC
rnacentral:rRNA from 1 species